UUCAUUAAUGAAAAAAGUACAAAAUACUUAAGUCAUCCGUUCAUUAGUUUCUGUGAUUGUUAAUACAAAAACGAUAUGGAUGUAGGCGCUGAUAUUAUUAAUGCAAUAUUUUCUAUAAUACGUUUGGUCGAUGAAAAAUUCAGGGAACUUGAUGAACGGCAGAAAUUGACCGCCGUAGUACUGGGACUAUUGGCCUUUAUUUCAGCUCCGUUCGUAUUCUCGAUUUUAGCUACCAUUGUCUACUGUAUCAUAUUAGCUUUAAUCGGACUGUGCUUAGUGCUUGUUUUUGGAAUUCUGACUGUGAAAUUCCGUGAUGAAAUCAAGAUACCGAAUGUCGUCAACAACUUUAAUGGAAACGUAAUGAAUAUUGAGGGAAAUCUCUCUGCGUGCCAAAGCCGCCUAUUUGCCUCUGAUAAUGAUAACAGGAUUCAGGACUUCAGUUAUAACGACAAUAAGAAAUUUUUACGAUUGAAAAUGAACUCGGACAAUGACUACAGCCAAGAUCAUAGAAGUUAUGAUUAUAGCAGAAAAAAUACUGCCAUAAGCAACCAAAGCAGUGAUAAUCGAAGAUAUAUUGAGAACAAUACGCUAGAUAUUGAUGCAAAUUUUUCUUUUUUUCCUUCUUCUAAACGAGCUCUUACAGGCACCUCUUGUAAUUUAUAAUAGUGGGGCUCAACCAAAAAAUAAAAAUAAAAAGUAAAAAAAACCGACACCCGUUAAUGUGACGGGUGUAAAUCUUUCAGAAAGUUAUAAUUUUUUUAGGAUUCCAUCAGAGAAUAAUAAAGUGGAAGCAAAUUACAAUGAUCGAAUUUGAAUUUGAAAGUCAGUAUAUGGGUAAUUCCAGGUAAUUUUAGACUUUUCGAAGUAUUUUCACCUAAUGAAAACCUAUUUCAGUUUAAGCCCCAUAUUAGGUCGGUCGGCCGAAAAUCUUGGGGAGAUACCACCAUAAAAGUGUAUGCUUGUUUUUCGCAAAUUUUUGAAAAUUCUAGUUUAUUUCACGAAACCUGAACCGAUUUCACUAAACUUUUUUUUUGCUCAAAGCUAUUGACAAGAUGCGUAGUUUUACACCAAUAUGAAGUCAUUGGCAUGUCUCGGGGAGAUAUGACCAAAAAGUGUUUAUAUGUAUUCGACUUUCCAAGAUAUUCUCAAUAAUUCUCAAAUGAUUUCUGUAAACUUAUUUCCCUGUAGAAACGAACGCUAUAAUUGCAAAUGACACGAAAUUAAAUUUUUAGAAGAUUUUUGGUUCAUUCUGCUUUGAAGUAAGGUGAAAUCACCUCGACCCAAACGUUGCCAAAAUUACAUUUUUUCAUAUAAAAACUGAAGAUCGGUGUCAUUCGAAAGCUACAGCAUAUGACUUUACGAGAAAAAUACUUUUGGCUCGAUCGGGUUAGUUGGGUGAGUGAAGUAGGUAAAAUCAGCUUCCCAGUGGUGAUUCAUCCCUCGAAUUUUGACUCGUCGAGGCUAUCUCGAAAAAUUUUGUAACAAUUUUUUUAAACGGGUUUGAGCCAAAGCAACAUUUUCUGUGGGGCAAAACACAGCUCACUUUAUGCCUCAGAAAUGACGAAAUUGGUAACGCAACUAACCCUGGAGUUACCCAUAUGUAGUCUUCCAUACCGCCUAUUUGAACUGUUUAUAUUGCAUUUGUUAGGUUUAUUAUCUAGAAACAGUUCCAAUGUAACGUGCAUAAGCUCGACUCAGAAGUAUAAACGUGCGAUCGCAAGCUCAAUACACCGAAAAAACAUUGUUAAUCGAUCGAAAGCUUGUUAUUUAGUUCUACUCGUUUUCAAAUCACGAUACGCUAAAAAUCUUCAUAAAUCGAUCAUUUUAAUUUACCCUGCUUUUAUUUCAUUUUUC